AAUAAGCUCGGCCAUGAAAUUCCAUGUCUAACUUUGAACGUCCGUCUUAUUUAAAAUAUUUUUGAUUAGUAUUUCUAUUGUUAUUAUAUUAUGAAACAUGAAUAUUACUUAUGAAUAUUACUUUAUAUGUGAACUUAUGUUUUUUAGUUUUUUUAAAAAAAAUAAAUAAGACGGACGAUUAAAGUUGGAUAUGGAAACUCAUGGCUGCGUUUAUU
rfam:Oryza glumipatula chromosome 4, whole genome shotgun sequence.